rnacentral:lncRNA from 1 species
CGCAGCGCCAGCCGCCGACCCACACCUGCCAGCUCCGCAAAGCGCGCGGGGCCGAGCUCGCCGCGGUGCCGGCGACUCAUAUCAGGUUAAAGCGACUCGGUGCGCCGUCCGAGUGUUCGAGUUCCUUUAAUUGCACUCAAAUAAUGAUCAAAGUACAAACUUACUAAUACUAUUAUAUCGAUCGCGUUCGCCGCAUUCGCCGACCGAAUGUAGUUUUUGGAAAUAUUUACUCGUUUUGAAUACUGUGUUUAAAUUAUUGCCACUCGUAAUCGGUUUCGGAUGUUCGCGUCAGCAGUCGCGCGACGGCAGGCGCGAGAGGCGCGACGGUCGGGGCUCGCUCGCGCGACGCCUCCGACGUGGCCAUCGUUAGUUACGUAAACAAAUUAUUUUAAUCAGUCGCUGCGACGACUGUAUUGCGGUGUUGUAUUUCUGGAGUACUCGACGCGAUGUCGCCGUCGACGCGACGAAUUUUGGAGAAGAACUUCACGGGAUGCGGGCUUCUUCUCCGACGUUUUUACACGAUUUUGACGCUGGAGAUACUUUUCUGACAUGAAAAAGUAUCGUAGAUUAAACUUAAAUAUAAUAUAGCUGUCCUAAUAAUAAAACAUGUAUGUCGUAUUAGUUGUAACUUGUACCGUGCGUCCGGUCGCACGCGGCGCCCACGACGCCAGGCGAAGCCCGCAUCGCGUGAGCCGCACUAUAGGAGGUUUCGGUAGAAUCGCCUCGGCUUUUGAUCUCGAAUUGCGACUGAGCGGCUCGGCGCUAGCGCGAGCUAGCGGUCGAGUCGCGCGUGAUUCCUUCAUAGAUUAUCAAAAUAUUUUUAUCUUUUUUAAAAUGUCAAUUGAUAUGAACGCGAUGCGCUGCCUUUUGUGCAAUAUGGAUGGAUUUUGUGGGAUUUGUGAGAUGUUUAUUGAUACUUGGAAGCGGGGGCGUCGCUGCGGCGCUCGUGCGACGGUCGCGAGACACGCAGCGACGCCUCCGUCUGUCGCCGCGACAGACGACAGAUGGAAGCGGCGCGCUCGCAGUUCGUACAAGAUAUUGGUUGUACGUAGUUGUAACUUAUGUUAGUAGUUUAUUUAGCAGGGCUAAUUCUGUUACUCUUGUUGUGUUAUAAACGAAAAUGAAAAAAAAAUAUAAUAAAAAUGUGGUGCGAGUGGAUACAAGUGAAUUUAACGAUAAAGACAUUUAACAAAUUUUCAAAUUAAUACGAUAAAAGUACUAAGACUUUUUUAAAAUCGCUUGAAUAAAGAUUGUAUGUACAUAGAGAUAAGUUACGUAGGGCUCGGAGAUGUAUUUCCGAUUAUCGUUUCACGCGCUGGUGAGUGGUUACAACGACAGCUGUUGCAAAUAAUAACAUUGUUUAUAUUGGGUAUUAAAUAAAAGAACUGGAAAGCUAAAAAAAAAUAUAUGAUACUAAAGAUGACGCUGAUCUUGCAAAUUAUCGUGGCGUCUGUCAAAAAUGAAUAUUAGGAUGCAGUUUAAUUUGUUCUUAAUCGUUUCGUAACAUGGAAACAAUUUCAACUGUCGCAUCGAUUGCAUUUCGGUGCUUGGUGGUGGAGCCGUGCGAUGUGACCGCGGACGCAUUCAUCAUCCUAUUUUCCAUAGUACUAGCAGUGAAACUCAAUAGUUCCUUUCUAAAAUAAGCAGCACUCCUAUUGUGACCAGAAGGCCUUGUGGGUACAGUUGAUUCUUUGAUACGACAGUUGGUUUCACCACUCUCAGCUUCUAUAACUCAAAUAUAAAAAUGUGACUUUUGUAUUACGAUCUAGGUAAUUUAAUGGCAAUAGUGUAGAAGUCUGAGGUAGUUGCACGUUCAGUCCGACUCUCAUUCAAGUAGUGACAACCGCCAGUUCACAAACGCGUCGAUAGUAAUCGGAGCUACACCUUCAGCGCAGUCUAGAUGUAGUAGGUAUAACAAAUUGUAUGACGGAGGCGCUCGGCGCCUGCUCUUUUGUUAACAUUUCUUUUGUGUUAUUUUUUAUUUCCGCUGAAAUUUCUUUACUGACUCGUCCAUGUCUCAGAGAGCCACCUGCGAGCCGACGGAGUCUAGCGCGCGUUGUGACAGUUGAAGCGGUUGUUCUGUAUUUAAAAUCCGACACUAAAUACCCACCUUGAAGAAGAACGAUCAAAUUCGUUUUACAAUUUUUAAUAAAUUAUUGUUGUGUGCGGUAUGAUAUCACAAAAAAACCACUUCAACUUUCGUGAUGACAACUGGGCCUUUUCUCUAUGAUACUCAUGUCUUAACCUUAAUGCCAGAACGCAGAGUCGAGUUACGAGUAGCCAUUUAAAAAUAGAAACUUUAAAGAAUGAUUCCACUGUAGACGGAGAAUCUCUGUCUACGCUGGGAUCAUUCUUGUUGACAUGAAAGUCCGUUUUCAAAUAUAUGAAAGUAUGGUAACUUCCAUGUAAGUAAUUUUUUUACGAAGACCAGAAAAAUAAAAAACCUCACAAAAAAGGAACUAAUUUUUGCCAUUGGCACACUAAACACAAAAAUUAUUGUGGCGCCCCCAAUCCAGGUUUAUUAUAUUUCUGGUCAUAUACCGAGAGCCUGCAUAGUCAGACAUUUUGUAAGUAUUUUGGAGCUGAAAGCUUCAUUUAAGUUUGUAUGUCAUGCCAGAUAAGUACAGUAACCAAUUAUGGAAUUCAGAUCGAGGUGGGUUUGGAAUGUAGCGGGUGCACGUGCCCAGGUCUCCUAUAUUGUCCUAGUAUAUAACAGAAUGAAAAAAUAUAACGUAAUUUCAAGAUAUCCUUUAACUUUGGCAACCCUUCGCUAAAGCCUUUUAAAGAAAUCUUUAAGUAUUUUUCGAAAGGUUGCCGCGGUUAGUUGUUUUCUCAUAUUAUGCAGAAAAAAAUACGCUUUAUAAUUGGACGUUUGACGAUCUGUACCCUUGAAACUUGCCAUCUUCCUAAGCCAUCACACCAUAUCCUUAUUCAUAAUUUGCUACUGUUCUAGCUAUCUCCAAACUAUGGUAGGAAGGAGCAACUGACGAUUUUUUAGCUUUCCUAAAAUAAGGUGUAACGCAGGCAUCAGGUUUAUAGUUAAGAUUUUAGUAUCAUGGAGAAAUUUUACUAUGAGUUUAGCCAUUCGAAUAUCUACGCCGAAAGUUACAUAGUAUUUAUUUGGUAUUUAACCUUUAACAUUACAACACCCCACCCUAGUUACUUAGUAUUCUGUGUGUGUGUAACAAUACACUCAUCACCCAAUCUAAAAAUUUAAUCACUUGCCAUUGACGUAAGUAUGAAAACACAGCUAUUUAUACAUAAAUAUUUGUUCCACAAAUAUUGGAUCAUUAUUUUGAUAUAUCUAUAUCAAAAUAAUGAUCCAAUAUGGUCCACACGAUGGGGUGUUGAAUUUGAAUUUGCAAAACUCAGAGUGGCCCUCUUGAUCUUAAUUAUUUGCUGUCAGAUUAUGAUUUAUUAAAUAAAUUAUUUUUAUCAGAAAUCUACUUAAAAUUAUAAUAACUCACCUGUCUUUGCUGCUAUUGGGUUCGAAUUUACUUUAGAAAAAAAUAUGACUAAAAAAAAGUUCAAAAAAAAUUUUACACUUUUGUCUACUUUAUUACAAAAAAAAAAAACAUAACGCAGGAAUAAUAUCUAAGUGUAGGUACAGUGAGCCAAAUAUCAAUUCGUAUUUUAUUAUAAGAAAAAUUUAAUUAUACCUACUUAUGUCCCAAAAUUUAAUGGUAGGUAAAAUGAAGUAAUAGCAAUUCAAUAACUUAAGUAAGCUACAGAAUGUCUGAAGUAGAUUUAUAAAUGAAAUACAGGUACAAAUUAUAUGGUCAAAAUAAUUUUCUUUCUGUAUGUAGUAAAUAUAUAUAGCUUGGCAAAUUCGUUCGUAACACUCCCGAUGGCCCGUGUGGGCCGGGAGGGAUAUCCCGCGCGCACGACUACAUACCCGCGCAGUCCUUUCCUCUGCCCCGCGGGCAGGACUUCACACCUGCGUAGUCCUUUCCCCUGUUGCUCGAAUAUCAUGAAAGUGUCAUUAACGAACUCGCCAAGCUAUAGUAGAACCUUUUUGCCUCUUUUUUAAAAGAAAACAUUUCAACAAGAGGGUAGUACAAAAAUAAACGGAAAGGCCCAUGUCCAGCAGUGGACGGCUACAGGCUGAUGCUAAAAACACAAAACAAAGGUAUAAAGGUGAUUUGGUUGUGCACAAAUCGUAAAUUAGCCACAGCUCUAAAAGGAGUGCCAUCCCAACCCUUUCAAGAGGAACUGUGUGAAAAGGCACUACUUUCAUAUUUGUAUUAUUGAAUAAUCACGUCUAGUUCAUCAUUUUCAUUCAUUGAAACCUCAAUAGCUCAACGGUAAGAGUGGUCGGCUUCAUCACCGAGGGGUGGUGGUGGUUCGAUCCCCGCCCCAUUGGUCUAUUGUCGUACCCACUCCUAGCACAGUCUUUCCCGACUAGUUAGAGUUAGAGGAGAAUGGGGAAAUCUCACAUGGGCUUUCAAUCCUACGUAUGGCAUAAAUCAAAUAAAAAAAAAUAUAUGAAAACGAAUUGACGUAUGACGAAAUAAAAAAAAACUAACAACAGCAUAAUUGAAUAGUAAAAUACGAAUUGACGUUUGUCCCGCAUAGCUGAUUCUCUAUGCCAAGGAAAUUAACUUCGUCAUUAAAAGUAAUUACGAUGUCAUAGAGAAUCAGUUGAUCAUUGGUUCGCACCCAGCAGCUGCAGAGACACGCAGAGACGAUUGGCACAUGUUGACAGCAAGCGGGCUUGCAGCGACAACCAUCGGUGAUAUUUACAAAAUGAUUUAUAUUAUGUUUUAUAUAUUGAAUUAACAAGCGUAAUAAAGAGUGAGCAAUGGCACAUCUUA